AUAAACAUUUCAAUACAUUCUCAUGUUAAUGUAUUUUAUAGCAUGUUGAAAUGGAGGUAAGAUUCAAGAACGCGCGAAUAAUUUUCAAAAUGGUGUCUACGGAUUUGAAGCGUCCAGGCACUUGACGGCUGGCCCUGCUCAGCUGACUAGGAAGGAGGAGUAGGCGCAGACGUGUUUUCUGUGCGUGAAUAUUGUGUAAUUGCUUUUAGUGUGUGGGUAUCUACUUCAUCAGGGAAACCAGUUCAUCUUGGGGGUUCUUCACAUCGCUACGGUAAGUACCAUGUACAGCUCAUCGCGGGACAGCGAGGGACAGCGCUGGAGCAUCUCUUGCAGGAUGUGUCAGACGAGAAGUGAAAUCAAGUCGCAGGUUUGUGGGUGUUAGGCUGUCACUGUGCUGCUGUUAACCCGCUUGCCUUGCAGGUAUGCACUCAUCAUGUAGCCAUCUUCCACAGCUCCACAGCAGUACUUUUCCCGGUGUUCAGUGUUGAUGGCGAAGAGGGAAUUACUGGUGCCCAGUGAGAAAUACCUGCUCUAGAGUGAAGUGCUGCUUGCAUCCGAAUAGAAUGUGAGAUUCAUACUAAUCAUGGGCAGCCCCUAACGAAGAGUUUUUUUUGUGGAUUUGAUGGCACAGUAACCAAGGCGCAGCUUCAAGACAAGUGCAUCAUGCUAAGUUCCCCAAACGAGAAGGGCGCGUUGUUCCUGGCGGCGAGGCACGAGGUGGGGGCUGUCGAGACGCUGCAGCCACAAGAAUUGGGACCCCGCCUCUCUCCCGUGCUGUGAGUGGGUCAUUUCCGAGACGCAAGGUGAGGAACUGCGGCCUUACCUUCCGAUACAACCGAAAAAGCUGUCAGAACCUUCCCCCCCCGCAUGCGUGUGUAUGUUGUGCACGUGAAGGUGUAUCGUGCGAGAGGCCAGAAAUGAUGCGCUCCAUUCAUUGAAAAGAUAAAGAAGUCAUAGAAAACCAUCAUGUACUAGCGAAAUACUCCAAUACUCUCAUCCCACUGCGGUGAAAAUAAAAUCUCAGUCAACGCGUCAUUAAUACAGGCAGUCAUGAAAACACUCCUGGGAUGCAGACGGCGGGGCACCAGAGCGCGUCCAACACUCACCAUGCAAUCCUAUUACCCACUCAGCCGUCACCCCGCCAAGUGCCGGCUGGUGUGUGCUUGGGGCCCGCUAGUAAGUCGGAACUCUUCGCUGCACCUGUCCAGCGGGGGGAGGCAGGCGGCAGCACGGCCAGCCAGCGGUGGGCGGUGCAGGUGUUGUUGGCUCCAGCGGCAGGUGUUUCAACUUUAAUGCUGCUUUAUCAGUGGUUGAAAAUCAAUCAGUGUGGGAGUGACGUGUGCAAAGAAACCGCGGUGCCAGCGACAGCGUGCACACACACACACACACACACACACACACACACACACACACACACACACACACACACACACACACACACACACACACACACACACACACACACACACACACACACACACACACACACUUGGCUUGCUCACUGGUAACAUCCUCGCCUGUCACUAGGUAGGCUAAGGUUCGCGCCCUGCUCUGGUUGCUCGUCUUUUUGACUGAACAGUGAGCAGUUAUUGUCCUCCUUGGUAGUAAGAUGGGUUGCGUGGCGGAUAAUAUGAUAAGCAACAGUUUUAAGGCAGUGGAACUCAACGUGAUUAACUUGAGGUCACAUAUUUGCUACUUUCUACUUUCUUUCUCCGGGAGGGCAGAGGUAGCGACACACACACACACACACACACACACACACACACACACACACACACACAUGAUCAACAAACUGUAUACGUACUUCAUUCCUUGUUACGUGCCUGGCUUGCUUGUCUUACACGUCAUGAGAGAGAGAGAGAGAGAGAGAGAGAGAGAGAGAGAGAGAGAGAGAGAGAGAGAGAGAGAGAGAGAGAGAGAGAGAGAGA